rnacentral:pre_miRNA from 1 species
UCCUAUGGAUGAGCAAAGAAAGUAGUUUCUUGCGAUGGAACCUACUCCUGGUAAACAUACUGUGAA